rnacentral:SRP_RNA from 2 species
GCCGGGCGUGGUGGUGCGCGCCUGUAGUCCCAUCUCCUCGGGAGGCUGAGACAGAAGAAUCACUUGAACCCAGGAGGCAGAGAUUGUAGUGAGCCGAGAUCGUGCCAUUGCACUCCAGCCUGGGUGACAGAGUGAGAUUCUGUCUUCA